rnacentral:rRNA from 1 species
UUUAAAAUGAGAGUUUGAUCCUGGCUCAGGACGAACGCUGGCGGCGUGCCUAAUACAUGCAAGUCGAGCGAGCGGAACUA